rnacentral:rRNA from 1 species
UACGUAGGGUGCGAGCGUUAAUCGGAAUUACUGGGCGUAAAGCGUGCGCAGGCGGUUUUGUAAGCCAGAUGUGAAAUCCCCGGGCUUAACCUGGGAAUGGCAUUUGGGGACUGCAAGGCUCGAGUGCGGCAGAGGAGACUGGAAUUCCUGGUGUAGCAGUGAAAUGCGUAGAUAUUGGGGAGGAACACCAGUGGCGAAGGCGGCUCACUGGACUGGGUACUGACGCUGAGGCGCGAAAGCGUGGGGAGC